rnacentral:lncRNA from 1 species
GCGGCGCCGAGGGGGGCGGGAGGGGCCGGGAGGCUGCGCGGGCGGCGGCCGGGCUCCGAGGCCCGAGCGGCGGGGAGGCCCGCGGGCCGCGCGUGAGAACCGGCGCGGGCGGGCAGACGGGAGCAGGUGGUGCGGCCGGAGGGGGGCGGGGCGGGACGGGGCGGGACGGGAGCGACGGGAGCGGGCGGGGGGGCGCUUGGGCUCGUCCUCGAGCGGGGAGGGCGGGGAUGGACGAGCCGAGUCCUAAGCGUGAAGCCGGAAUCCGUCAAGGUUCCUUCACGCGGCUCAGAGAACUUGAAGAAGUUGUGUGCGUUCUGGUGGCGCUGGGCUCUAAAAUUUUCCUCUAUCCGAAUCCUGUUUUUGUUUUUACGUAUUUUCGAUGCCUGGUGGUAUCUUAUUAGAACUGAACAUUGAUCACUGUAUUUCACGAGGAUUGGGAGAAAAAGAACAAAAGGCGUCUAAAAAGGAACAUCCCAUUUCCGUGAUCCGCUCUACCGAAAUUUUGAGAAAGAAUAUGCUUCAGCAGCCGCACACGUUGAUCUUCAGGGCAGAGCGGGGGCUCUCGGCUGGGGACGGGAAGUCCAGACUCACCGUCAGGUGACCGUGAACCAGCCCUGCCCAAAGUCUCACUUUUGUCACCUGAAAAAAGUAGAGCAAUGAACUCCCCCUGCUUAUGUCGCAGCGCGUUCUGUGAUUCAGCGUGUAUUUGAAGAAAAGUGGAAUAUGAGCAUUGUCCGGGGGGGGGGGGGGGGGGGGGCGCCCAGCUGUCCUGGGCCGUCUUCCCUCCUGUGCGCACCUUAGAGGGUGUCUGGUCCCCUCGCAGCCGGUCGUCCUGCUCCCAGACCGCCCUCUUCUGGGGUCCGGAUAGAUGGGACUUGGGUGCCGCAGAAGCCUCACAGUCUGCGUGCCCUAAGCGGAGCCCCGCACCUUUCCUGCAAACUUCCCUGCUUCCAAACUGCUUCCCUGCAGCCUGGUCUCAGCCCCCAGCCCCGUCCCGCAGUCGUCGAGGCCCACGGUCCGUUUUACUCGCGUCCCCCUGGUGGUCCGCCCGUCGCUCCUGCCACGCUCCGGCUUCCUGGUACAGGCCCCCAGCGCCUUCCACCUGGAGCGCCGUGGUUUUCGGCUCGUUAGGAAAUCUCCGUUGCCUUCAGGAUAAGUCCCGUCUCCCUAGAUCCGCUUCGCAAGGGCCUCCGAAUCCUGUCUCCAGCAGGAUCGUCCACCUGCGGCCGCUCCCCACUCCCCCCCCCCCCCCCCCCCCGAGCUCCAGCCCACCUGAGUGGCUCUCGGUUCUCCAGGGCGACGGUCCUCCCCAGCUUCGGCAACACGCCCCGGCCUCCUCCUUUCGUAAGAGGUGGCUUCCUUCCUUUCCCUCACCUCCUAACCCCGAGUGAAGGGCCGGUGGCGUCCCUCCCAGCAGGGUGCACCCGUCGCCCUGCGCUGCGCUCGCCUGCUGUGCGCCCGGGGUGCUCCAGCCCACACCAGCUCCUCGGAACCGGGCUGCUGCAUCCCGCUCACCAUUGUUCCCAGCUCCCCAGGACGGUCCUUGGCAGUACUGGUCGGACCCUCUAAGAAUUCAGCGACCGGCGUAGGAAAACAAAAAUUAGAGUCGCCUUAGGUAUCUACCGACAGAUUUAUCUUAUGUUGCUGUGUUUUUCAGUUUUGAAUGCUCCUCAUUUAAUCAGAAGUUUCUCUAGAAGAAUAACUUUUUUAAAAAAAUGAUAUAAAUUUUGCUUAGACCAUUCUGAUGUUUUUGUCACAAUUAACCAUAAAUCUUUUUUAGCAGCCAUCGUGUGUGUGGUUUGUGAAGUGAAAUUCUGGAACAGUAGCUCCCUGUUUAACGUUAAGGGGCAGAAAUGUUCAUGUUAAGCCCAGGCUCUGAAACUUUAAAACUGAGCUGAAACUAAAUGCCAAAAAAUGAUAGUGGAAGGAAAGAACAUUAUGGUGGACGUUCUGAUCCUUGAUUGUUAUUAUUAAUUUUUAGGACAGCAAUUAUCAAUAUGUUAGGAAAUUGUCCUGAUACUGACUUAAAAAAAUAUCCUGUACUCUUAAUAUUUUUCUUUUGUUUAAGAGAUGUCAUGGUAACAAAUUGAAAUUAUCAUUUUCCUUGUGCUCCUUCUGAGCUAGCAGUGUUACAUAUGUACAUUUAGAUCUGUAGUAUUUCUAAACACCACCCUGCUACACACUUUCAAUAAAGUUAAACAAGAAUUCUUUGUUGAGAGAUGUAAUAUUUGGAGGGGGGGGUAUAAGGGAAUAAAUCUUAACUACUACAAAUUGUUUCCCUUCAGCCUUACUCUGAAGGAGAUCCUUGUUGGUUUUCUCAUUACUGUACAACUAGCCUGUUGACUCUGUUACACUUUGGUGGAGGGGAGUAUAAUUUAGUAAGAAAUAAAAAUUUUUUUUAAAAAGAGAAAAUUUCUUUAGUAAAAUAGGCAAAAAAUUAAUGAGAUCAUAUAAAAGUGAAACCAAGUAAUGUAUUUAAAGUAUUUGGGGCAGGAAAAAAAAGGCAUCAUAAUUAUUUACUGUUCUGUAGAUAAGUAUUCUCUCAGUAUGUAUCAUAUCUAUUUAUAUAAAGGACAAACUGAAUAAUUAUCAUAAAUAAUAAGGGAAAAGUAAACCCCAAAGGGCUUCUCUUAG